GUAGGGAAUAUUGGGCAAUGGUCGGAAGACUGACCCAGCCAUGCCGCGUGCAGGAAGACGGCCCUCUGGGUUGUAAACUGCUUUUAUCUGGGAAGAAAAAGGCCAUGCGUGGCAAAUUGCCGGUACCAGAUGAAUAAGCACCGGCUAACUCCGUGCCAGCAGCCGCGGUAAUACGGAGGGUGCGAGCGUUGUCCGGAUUUAUUGGGUUUAAAGGGUGCGUAGGCGGCUGAUUAAGUCAGUGGUGAAAGACUUCGGCUUAACCGGAGCAGUGCCGUUGAUAAGGGUUGGCUUGAGUGUCGGAGGGGUACAUGGAAUUGAUGGUGUAGCGGUGAAAUGCAUAGAUACCAUCAGGAACACCGAUAGCGAAGGCAUUGUACUGGCCGACAACUGACGCUGAUGCACGAAAGUGUGGGGAUCGAACAGGAUUAGAUACCCGAGUAGUCC
rnacentral:rRNA from 1 species